CCUCUGAGUGUUCCCUGGCCUUCAUCCGCAGGGCUGCAACACUGGCUGUCCGGUUACUCUGGCAUCCAUAUGGUGGCAGGAAGGAGAGGCUCAUUGGGUCAGGCACACAGCAGGAGCACAAGGGGCUUCCUAAUAAGGUGCUCUUUGAUGUGGCCAUCAUAGGGAAGAAGGAGGGAGCCAUAAAUAAGUGAACUUUCGGAGUUACCCCGUCAUUACACGGCCACAUGGACCGGACUCAGCAACCUUUCCGGUCCAGAGGUCAUAAACCCACCACAGGCUACGCAAACACAACCAUGAAGAAACUUCACUAGACACACAGUUCAGCUAGAAAACAAAAGAAGAUAUUUUGAAGAAUGUUGCUAACCGAACAAAGGUCUUCAUGGCUCCCUGCUGUUCAGGCCUGUGGGGGCUGAACAACCUAACAGGCCCGUUCUCGCGCUCGGGACGGCGUUGUGGCGUGGAAGCCGCUGAAUGACAUGCUCAGAGCUCAGUGACAGCUGGAGAUCUGCCUCCAGAUGUAUCUCAGAUAAGCUUUCCACCUGGUGACAGGACACAGGCGAGUGCUUUAAAGUGAGCGGUGUUCUGCACGCCUUCGUGAGCGUAGCUAUUGAUGACAAGCCUUUAAAGAGAUAAGUGCUGAUAGCAGGGAUUGUUAAACUAGUACAGGAAAGAGGCUGUUUUCGUCACGGGAGACCUGAAGGCCAGUGUCUGAAAUUAGGACCAGUUCAACACUCGAGCCCCCUCCGUGUUUAUUGAAAGUGGACAUUGGAUUCACAAUGUCGCAUGUUUGGAUACUUCACUAUUUAACAUUCCAGUACCCAGUACACAAGUGUUUUAUCUUUAGAUUUGAUCACAAUGUGGGGUAGCAUAUCAUAUUGUCUGUUUUGUGUAAAGAUGCUACACUAAAGUAAACUUUGAAGUUUGAUGAGUUUUAUGAGGGAUGGAAAUACAUUUGUGGGGUUAUCUUAUUUCCCUGUCGCAGGCGACAGAUUGGAAUAGAACAAUGUAAACAACUGCUGAAACAACGGACUGUGUAAACUUCACUGUUAUCAGUUAACCUAACAACAACUGCAGUGGUUCUUUCUGAGUGAUUUACAACUUGCAUAUUGUAAUCCAAGAAAAACAUUUCCUUUUCUCUUCCUGAGAAACUCAAAUUUACCAGAAGUGGUUGAGAAAGCACUUUCUGCAUUUAGAGACUUGAAAGUGGACAUUGGGCUGACCCAUGGCUGAUGCUAUGACUCUGCAUGAAAUGAAACUCAUAUUCCCUCAAGGUCCAUUAAUUCAUAUUUUUGCAGCUGGCAGGAGAAGGAUGGAAUAUGGUAUGUGUUUGUUAAAUUAGGCAAUGAAAAUGAAAACCAAUGAACA